ensembl:lncRNA
CGAGCAGCUCAUCAUGCUGUCAGCACAGAGCUCCCUGGAGACCACAGCAAGACUCCAAAGGGGAGCAUGGGGAGGAAAAAAGGCCCAUUUCCCCCAAGGAAGGACAAGCUUCCAGCCCAGAAAACUGAGUCAUCUUGGCCACCUGCACUCGUGUGUCCACUUGGAGCCUCUUCUAUUCUGACAACUUUGCAUCUUUUUUUCUCUGGACCCAGAAACAAGUAUGUCCAAGAAUCCUCCAAGAAUUCACCAGACGCUCUCUCCUGGUCAGAGAGCCAAUGCUCACCCGACUGAGUUCAAAACAACCUUGACCUUGGGUUUUGUUUUUGCAGAUUAAAAAAAAAAAAAAA